UGGGGAAGCCUGAUCUAGAGGCAUGUUCUUUGAGUUCUGCGCUUCUCACAGAAGAGGCUUGCACCCUCUUUGGGGGAAUUUCCACCUCCACCUGCAACUCUGCAUGCCCCAUCCCAACCCAUUCCUGAGAGUCACCAGUCUCUCAGGAACUGCUUUUUGGAUAAGUUGAAGGGCUGUUGUGGAGAGGGAACCAGGAAAGUUGGCUUGCACAAACUUCUUUGGCACUUGCAGGUCAAUAAAACAUUCAAUAUAGUUUGAACCACUGCAUAUUAGCAAGAGGGGAGGGGAGGAAGUUGCCACAUAACUGGUCACAUUAUGUCAUUUACAAAAUUGAAGCUAAAAAUACCUGCAACAAUUUCUCAGUGAAAAAGAUUACUGCUUUAAUCAUCAGGUGAGUGGCCAUUAUUCUCUUCAGGGCUGGUGAAGCAAUGGGGAUGUCUCCUAAAAUAUAUAGAGUUCAUAUAUCACAAAAAAAAUGUGAUUACAAGUAAUCUGGUAGUUUUUCUCCCCCCCACCCCCCAUCUGCUCUUAAACAGUUGAAAUUAAGGUUUGAAAUGCCUAUUUGGCCACGCCCCCCCCAACAGACAGCAGCCAUGUUGACUCUGCUAUGACAUCAUUGCUGCUUUUUAAAAUUUGAGGCCUGGUCAUUCUGAGUAUUGAGAGUGAAGUUUCCUGCAGUAAUCUGACCAAAAGCAAACUUUGAUUUUGAAAAAUCCAGAAGGUAUAAGUGGUAUAUAGUACCACUGUGCAAGAGCACAACAAAUAAAGCACACUGGGGGAAAAUAUUGGUGUAUACAGUUAAAGAGAAGAAGCAAUGGGAAGCUUGGGUAGAUGCAGAGAGAAGAGAAAAGUUGUUCAUUGCUGUUUAUGUGUCAUGACCAUUUCAAUAUGUAAUCUUCACUGGCAGCAAACAAACAGGAUGUCAUGCAGGAAUCUACAAAUGGCAGACUUCCUGAAUUUCCUUUCACAAACCUUUUCUCAUGUUAAGGAAUCAGUGCAAAACAAGUCACAGACAGGGCCGGUUUGAGACUUCUGGCCUGCCCAGAAUGGGAAGGUUGAGCAGCGCUGAUGUCAUAAUCACCUCAACCAAUGGGAGAGCAAUUUUGCUCUGCCAGGCCAAUGUGAAUCUUUAAACCGGUUUUAAAAACCAACUGCUUCAUGUAGGAUGAAAAAAAAUUGCUACACUACCUAAUGGUGAGCUGCUUAAUACUACUAAAAAUGCUAUGAGAUUUGGGAGAUAGCCCCAUUCCCCAGAAACUGAUGGAAUCCGAGGGAUUACUCAGGGCCCUCAUGGAGUUCCUGUCAAAGCCCUAAUCACUCUGUGGAAUGCAGAUGACUUGGGAGACUGGUAUGGUUGCUCUUAUCCCGUAAUACAGAACUUUGACAAUUCCAUAUGUCUACCAGGGACCUGGGGCCAUGAAGCAAAUUGGGAGUUGGCUGGAACACAUGACAGAAAACUGAGUUGUCCAGGCCUCCUCCACACUUGGCCCACAGGAAAAGGAACCCUCAGAUGCAAGUUGUGGCAUGUUUUGCUAAACACUUCAAGGACAGACUUGUUUGCUUCUGUCUUGACUUCAAUGGCACUAGUUCUCCGGUUCAAAGGAAGCAUCCAGCUAUCUGGUCUACAUUUGACAGUUAUUUCUGUCGGAGGAUGUAGAAAAGGCACGUGAAGUGUUGUGACCUACCACACAUUUGCUCAGCCCUUGCCCCUUCUUGGUUAAUAAUAUUCACUGAGGGAAAUGACUGUCUAAAUCCAGGAAGUCAUCCAUGUCUCAUUAUGAGAGAGUUCAGUCUUUCCCUUGAAGGGGGUUACUGGGAAAUUGGUCUUAAAAAAACCAGUCUUGGACCCUAAGGAUUGCAAUAACUAUUCACCAUUCACACUGAUGAUGUUCUUUUGGCGCCUGGUAAAUAUAUUUUUGUUCUCUUAGCUCCCUUUACAUUGUCUUGACUGUAUCUAGCUGUUUCUUUAACUGCUAUGUCUCACUGUGUUUUGCUGUAUUUUAUACUGUUUAAUACUGUCCAUUUUCAGAAAACCAUCCCAGAAACAUUGAAGGGCGGUAUGUUUAAAAAACAAACAAAAAACAGCCAACUGAAUUUCUGUUAAUAAACAGUUUAUUUAUGACUGAGAAA